UGAUACUAAGCCAUGCGAGUCAUUGUAGCAAUACAAGGCAGACGGCUCAGUAACGCGUAGUCAAUCUACCCUAUGGACGGGAAUAACCUCGGGAAACUGAGAAUAAUGCCCGAUAGAACAUUAUGCCUGGAAUGGUUUAUGUUUCAAAUGAUUUAUCGCCAUAGGAUGGGACUGCGGCCUAUCAGUUUGUUGGUGAGGUAAUGGCCCACCAAGACUAUUACAGGUACGGGCUCUGAGAGGAGUGGCCCGGAGAUGGGUACUGAGACACGGACCCAGGCCCUAUGGGGCGCAGCAGGCGAGAAAACUUUGCAAUGUGCGAAAGCACGACAAGGUUAAUCCGAGUGGUUUCUGCUAAAGAAACCUUUUGUCAGUCCUAGAAACACUAACGAAUAAGGGGUGGGCAAGUUCUGGUGUCAGCCGCCGCGGUAAAGCCAGCACCUCAAGUGGUCAGGAUGAUUAUUGGGCCUAAAGCAUCCGUAGCUCGUUUUGUAAGUUUUCGGUUAAAUCCAUACGCUUAACGUAUGGGCUGCCGGGAAUACUGCAUAACUAGGAAGUGGGAGAGGUAGACGGUACUCGGUAGGAAGGGGUAAAAUCCUUUGAUCUAUUGAUGACCACCUGUGGCGAAGGCGGUCUACCAGAACACGUUCGACGGUGAGGGAUGAAAGCUGGGGGAGCAAACCGGAUUAGAUACCCGGGUAGUCCCAGCUGUAAACUAUGCAAACUCAGUGGUGCAUUGGCUUGUGGCCAAUGCAGUGCUGCAAGGAAGCCGUUAAGUUUGCCGCCUGGGAAGUACGUACGCAAGUAUGAAACUUAAAGGAAUUGGCGGGGGAGCACCACAAGGGGUGAAG
rnacentral:rRNA from 1 species